UACAGAGGUGGCAAGCGUUGUUCGGAAUUACUGGGCGUAAAGGGCGCGUAGGCGGCCUUCUAAGUCAGAUGUGAAAGCCCCGGGCUCAACCUGGGAAUUGCAUUUGAGACUGAAUAGCUAGGGUGCGGUAGAGGGAAGCGGAAUUUCCGGUGUAGCGGUGAAAUGCGUAGAUAUCGGAAGGAACAUCAGUGGCGAAAGCGGCUUCCUGGACCAGCACCGACGUUCAGGCACGAAAGCGUGGGGAGCAAACAGG
rnacentral:rRNA from 1 species